CCUACGGGUGGCUGCAGUGGGGAAUAUUGGACAAUGGGGGAAACCCUGAUCCAGCAAUGCCGCGUGUGUGAUGAAGGCCUUCGGGUUGUAAAGCACUUUUGUCAGGGACGAUGAUGACGGUACCUGACGAAUAAGCUCCGGCUAACUUCGUGCCAGCAGCCGCGGUAAUACGAGGGGAGCUAGCGUUGUUCGGAAUUACUGGGCGUAAAGGGCGUGUAGGCGGUACCAUAAGUCAGAUGUGAAAGCCCUAGGAUUAACCUAGGAGGUGCAUUUGAUACUGUGGAACUAGAGAUCGAGAGAGGUAAGUGGAAUUACGGGUGUAGUGGUGAAAUUCGUAGGUAUUCGUAAGAUCACCAGUGGCGAAGGCGACUUACUGGCUCGAUACUGACGCUAAGGCGCGAAAGCGUAGGGAGCAAACAGGAUUAGAUACCCUAGUAGUC
rnacentral:rRNA from 1 species